AUGUCCUUAGGUGCUCAAAACAGGAGCAAAGUACCAAAGUUAGAGAAAGAAAAGUUGUGGGAUUUUGUUCAGGGCAUAUUUCCUUCAGAUGAGUCAUACAAAAGAUGGGUGUUGAGAUCAGCCAGUAAAACAUGGAAAGACAUCAAGGUUUUUUUAAAGAGGAAAUACUACAAAGAUGAUUUGUCACGGGCACAGAAUAUUCUUAAUGGUUAUAGUAAUAGAAUCCCAAUUGGACAGUGGGAGUGGCUAGGAAAACACUAG
rnacentral:rRNA from 1 species